CAAUAGCGUAUAUUAAAGUUGUUGCGGUUAAAAAGCUCGUAGUUGGAUUUCUGUUGAGAGCAGCCGGUCUGCACUUGGUGCAUGUAUCUGGUUUGAUCUCGGCAUCCUCUCAAAAAACGUUUCUGCGCUUGAUUGCGUGGAGCGGAGUUUGGGACUUUUACUUUGAGGAAAUUAGAGUGUUCACGGCAGGCAGUCGCCUUGAAUAUAUUAGCAUGGAAUAAUAAUAUAGGAUCUUGGUUCUAUUUUGUUGGUUUCUAGAGCUAAGAUAAUGAUUAAUAGGGACAAUUGGGGGCAUUCGUAUUAACGCGUCAGAGGUGGAAUUCUUGGAUUGCGUUACGACGAACUACUGCGAAAGCAUUUGCCAAGGAUGUUUUCAUUGA
rnacentral:rRNA from 1 species